CUGUUCCUACGGGACGCAGCAGGGGGGAAUAUUGCACAAUGGGGGGAACCCUGAUGCAGCGACGCCGCGUGGGUGAGGAAGUACUUCGGUAUGUAAAGCCCUAUCAGCAGGGAAGAAAAUGACGGUACCUGACUAAGAAGCCCCGGCUAACUACGUGCCAGCAGCCGCGGUAAUACGUAGGGGGCAAGCGUUAUCCGGAUUUACUGGGUGUAAAGGGUGCGUAGGUGGCAGGGCAAGUCAGAUGUGAAAGCCCGGGGCUCAACCCCGGUAC
rnacentral:rRNA from 1 species